rnacentral:rRNA from 1 species
UGGGGAAUCUUCCGCAAUGGACGAAAGUCUGACGGAGCAACGCCGCGUGUAUGAUGAAGGUCUUCGGAUUGUAAAGUACUGUCAUUGGGGAAGAACGGUUUUCUUGAAAAGAUUGAGAAGACAUGACGGUACCCAAGGAGGAAGCCCCGGCUAACUACGUGCCAGCAGCCGCGGUAAUACGUAGGGGGCAAGCGUUGUCCGGAAUUAUUGGGCGUAAAGGGCGCGUAGGCGGGCCUUUAAGUCCGGUGUGAAAGAUCAGGGCUCAACCCUGAGAGUGCAUCGGAAACUGGAGGCCUUGAGGACAGGAGAGGAAAGUGGAAUUCCACGUGUAGCGGUGAAAUGCGUAGAUAUGUGGAGGAACACCAGUGGCGAAGGCGACUUUCUGGACUGUAACUGACGCUGAGGCGCGAAAGCGUGGGGAGCAAACAGGAUUAGAUACCCUGGUAGUCCACGCCGUAAACGAUGAGUGCUAGGUGUAGAGGGUAUCGACCCCUUCUGUGCCGCAGUUAACACAAUAAGCACUCCGCCUGGGGAGUACGGCCGCAAGGUUGAAACUCAAAUGAAUUGACGGGGUCAUAGCUGUUUUCCU